GACGAACGCUGGCGGCGUGCCUAAUACAUGCGAGUAGAACGCUGAAGGAGGAGCUUGCUCUUCUGGAUGAGUUGCGAACGGGUGAGUAACGCGUAGGUAACCUGCCUGGUAGCGGGGGAUAACUAUUGGAAACGAUAGCUAAUACCGCAUAAGAGUAGAUGUUGCAUGACAUUUGCUUAAAAGGUGCAAUUGCAUCACUACCAGAUGGACCUGCGUUGUAUUAGCUAGUUGGUGGGGUAACGGCUCACCAAGGCGACGAUACAUAGCCGACCUGAGAGGGUGAUCGGCCACACUGAGACUGAGACACGGCCCAGACUCCUACGGGAGGCAGCAGUAGGGAAUCUUCGGCAAUGGACGGAAGUCUGACCGAGCAACGCCGCGUGAGUGAAGAAGGUUUUCGGAUCGUAAAGCUCUGUUGUAAGAGAAGAACGAGUGUGAGAGUGGAAAGUUCACACUGUGACGGUAUCUUACCAGAAAGGGACGGCUAACUACGUG
rnacentral:rRNA from 1 species